rnacentral:rRNA from 1 species
UACGAAGGGGGCUAGCGUUGCUCGGAAUUACUGGGCGUAAAGCGCACGUAGGCGGCUCUUUAAGUCAGGGGUGAAAUCCUGGAGCUCAACUCCAGAACUGCCUUUGAUACUGAGAAGCUUGAGUUCGGGAGAGGUGAGUGGAACUGCGAGUGUAGAGGUGAAAUUCGUAGAUAUUCGCAAGAACACCAGUGGCGAAGGCGGCUCACUGGCCCGAUACUGACGCUGAGGUGCGAAAGCGUGGGGAGCAAACAGG